GUUGAACGCUGGCGGCAUGCCUAACACAUGCAAGUCGAACGGUAACACGAAAAGGCUUGCUUCUUUGCUGACGAGUGGCGGACGGGUGAGUAAUGUCUGUGAAACUGCCUUAUGGAUGGGGUUAACUACUGGAAACGGUAGCUAAUACCGCUUAACGUUUCAAGACCAAAGAUGGAGAGUGUCAGGCGGUUUUGCUGCCGCUUUUCCCAGAUGGCGUUAGCUAGUAGGUGAGGUAACGGCUCACCUAGGCGACGAUCCAUAGCUGGUCUGAGAGGAUGACCGGCCACACUGGAACUGAGACACGGUCCAGACUCCUACGGGAGGCAGCAGUGGGGAAUAUUGCACAAUGGGCGCAAGCCUGAUGCAGCAAUGCCGCGUGUAUGAAGAAGGCCUUCGGGUUGUAAAGUACUUUUAGCGGGGAGGAAGGGAGUAAAGUUAAUACCUUCGCUCAUUGACGUUACCCGAAGAAGAAGCACCGGCUAACUCCGUG
rnacentral:rRNA from 1 species